rnacentral:lncRNA from 1 species
AUGCGGAGUCACAUGGUGAAGUCACCGAGGUCCACAUGUGGGUCUCAGCUUUCUCAGCUCUGGGACUCAGACCCUGUAACCACUGGCCCAUUCUCUUCCAUACUCAAUGUGGAUUACCCAUCCUCUACCUUGCAGCUGGGGGACAGCCUGGAGCGGAGACAUCUUGGAGGUGACCAUGUUGCACAAAAGGUUCAUGAAGCACCAGCAUUUACAUUUUAAUAUACUGCUAUAAGGAUCCAAGGACCUUGUAGUAAUUCCAUUUAAACAGUGAAUCAGUGAUAUGAUCCUCAGGAACACAGCAAUAGACACAGCUGAAGUUUCUGUGAAGAUCUGUGAAGUUUCUGUGAAGUUUCUGUGAAGAUCAGUAAAUGGCAUUGAAUGUACAGAAUAUAUUCCCAGUUGAAGGUAAGGCUUUCUAGGUCCCCAAAUUUCCCCACAGGAACAUUCAGCUGUGGAUGAUACAACUAACAUGGACUAAGAAUUGCACUAGGCAUAAGAAAUUCCCCUUGCCAUCCUUAUGGAGGUUCAUAGCCUUCAAAAAGCCCUCCACAACCAACAUGACUAUUCUGGGCAUUCUGUCUACCUUUCCACCAGCUUCAAAACAACUACACAC